rnacentral:RNase_P_RNA from 1 species
CCGGUUUUCCGGCAUCAGGAAAGGAAAGUCCGGGCAACAGAGAGCACCAUACUUCCUAACGGGAAGAUAUCCGCGAGGGUAUAGCAGCGUAACAGAAAAUAACCGUCCCGCCUUGCGGGAUAAGGGUGAAAAGGUGAGGUAAGAGCUCACCGGUUCCUGUGGCAACACAGGAAGCCGUACGCCUUAUGGGUUGAAAGACCAUGUAUACCGGCGCCUGAGGGUUGCUCGCCCGAGCCGGGGGGUAGGUCGUAGGAGCCAUCCAGUGAUGGAUGGACCAGAUAAAUGACGGAUGGAAGGGCAAACUCUCUCGAAGGGAAAGCCGCUGAACAGAACCCGGCUUACAGACCGGCUGCUUGA